rnacentral:rRNA from 1 species
AUUCAUCUCCAGACCUAAUUAAAUGCCCCCAAUCCUGUCUGAUCUUGGAAGCCGAGCAGGGUUGGGCCCAGCUAGUAAAUGGAUGGGAGGAAUG